rnacentral:rRNA from 1 species
UACAGAGGUCUCAAGCGUUGUUCGGAUUCAUUGGGCGUAAAGGGUGCGUAGGUGGCGCUGUAAGUCAGAUGUGAAAUUUCGGAGCUUAACUCCGAAACUGCAUUUGAUACUGCGGUGCUUUGAGGACUGGAGAGGAGACUGGAAUUUACGGUGUAGCAGUGAAAUGCGUAGAGAUCGUAAGGAAGACCAGUGGCGAAGGCGGGUCUCUGGACAGUUCCUGACACUGAGGCACGAAGGCCAGGGGAGCAAACGGG